GGUUCGCAGGGUUGUUGGCUUAUUGGAGAGACCAGUUGUUCAAUUUCCAGAUGGUACAGAAAUGACAUGCGGAAUUUGUUUUGAAACAUAUCCUUGUGAUAGGUUGUAUGUUGCUGCUUGUGGUCAUCCAUUUUGUAGUUCAUGCUGGCGGCAAGGCUACAUAAGCACAGCUAUUAAUGAUGGUCCUGGAUGUUUGAUGUUGCGAUGUCCUGAUCCUUCCUGCAAUGCUGCUGUCGGUCAAGAUAUGAUUAAUGAGUUGGCUUCGGAUGAAGACAAGGAAAAGUAUUCUCGCUAUUUCAUAAGAUCUUAUGUUGAGGACAAUAGAAAGACCAAAUGGUGCCCUGCUCCAGGAUGUGAUUAUGCUGUGGAUUUUAUUGUUGGCAGUGGAACCUAUGAUGUAACUUGUGGCUGCUCAUAUAGUUUCUGUUGGAAUUGUACUGAAGAAGCCCAUCGUCC
rnacentral:misc_RNA from 1 species